rnacentral:rRNA from 1 species
UAACGAAUCUUCCGCAAUGGGCGAAAGCCUGACGGAGCAAUGCCGCGUGGAGGACGAAGUCCUUCGGGAUGUAAACUCCUUUUGGGGUGAAGAAAACGAUGCCGGUGAACAUCCGGUGAAAUUGAUCUAGCCCCGAAUAAGCCUCGGCUAACUCUGUGCCAGCAGCCGCGGUAAUACAGAGGAGGCAAGCGUUGUUCGGAAUCACUGGGCUUAAAGCGCGUGUAGGCGGCCCGUCAAGUACCUUGUGAAAUCCCUCGGCUCAACCGGGGAAUGGCUGGGUAUACUGUCGGGCUUGAGGUGGGUAGGGGUGCCUGGAACUCUAGGUGGAGCGGUGAAAUGCGUAGAUAUCUAGAGGAACGCCCGUGGCGAAAGCGGGGCACUGGGCCUAACCUGACGCUAAGACGCGAAAGCGUGGGGAGCAAACGGGAUUAGAUACCCCCGUAGUCC